rnacentral:tRNA from 30 species
GGCUGGGUAGCUCAGUUGGUACGAGCGAUCGCCUGAAAAGCGAUAGGUCGCCGGUUCGAUCCCGGCCCCAGCCACCU